UGUAAACAAAUGUGGUUUGGUAGUAACACUGGGAAUUUGUCCUGUUGAAAGAAUUUGAUCCUUUAAAGUGUCCAAGUCUGCAUGGUUGUGUAGGCCUUCACGUAGACGAUUCAGUAAUUCAGAAAAGACUUUGUCUUCUUUCUGUCUUAUAAUCUCUGUCAAUUCAAACAACUUGAAAUGCUCUACCCACAAAUUCAUAGCCAGUGGUCCAUAAUCUGCUGUCAAAUCAUCAAAAAUCCAGCCAUCCAUAACUGGUUUCAACUGAAACAGAUCGCCUAUUGCGAUAAUGCUAAUACCACUAAAUGGCUGCUGCUUCGCAAAGAUUUCUUGAAGCCUGCUAUUGAUAUAGUUGAACAUCCGGUUACCGACCAUAGAUAUUUCAUCUAUGAACACAACUUUCAAGGCAUGAAAUUUCACUCUGAAAGAAUCGAAUUGCCGAGAAUCAGGGGGGUUGUAUUUGAACCCCUGGUUUGCAGGUAUGCAAAACAAUGAAUGUAUAGUAUGGCCACCAAUACUGUGUGCUGCUUUGCCAGUAGGCGCGCACAAAACAGCUUUAAUAUCAUCUGGACAAUAGACCCUUUCACGCAGUAUGUUUUAUUACCUCCCCUUGGUAGAACUCUUUUGCGUUUCGAUCGAAAACGAGGCGACCGGUGUUGACUUGUUUGUUGACAAAGAUCGAGUCGAAGAUUCGCUGUACCGGCUUUGGCAGAUAUGCUGACAUCCAAGGGGAAGCAGUGUUCUGUUUAUGGAUGCGACAACUUUGCCUUCAAGAAAGAUGGAACUAGCACAGGAUACAUUGUUUUUCAAAGACUGAAAAAGGUUUUGGAACAAAGGAAAUUGUGCUCAUAUUCUUUUAUAAAUAUAUGAAUGGAGCACAUUUCCAUUGGACUUAUAAGUAAAAACUGGACAUUAAAACCUGACCAGACACCAAAAGUCUUCUCAUGGAUAACUGUACAUACUCCUAGAAAAAAGUCCAUUGAAGAGGUCAACAACCAUGAAUGAGACUACCACUGGAAUCGGUUGUAGAUGAUUCUGAGAAUUUGGAUGUUCCUGAACUUGUUUGGAGUGGAAAUUGGAAUUCAAGCAGGUCCUGGCACUAGUGAUGUAGGCUGCCAGACAGAUGAUGGUGAUGUGACAAAUGUCUGUGAUCAUAACCACUCUAGCGACCACAUUCUUGACCACAUUUACAGUUUUCAUGCCGAUGAUGAUGGCGAGAAUGAAAUUGAAAAUCUACAGAUAGAAAUUGAAAAACUGUCAAC